AACAAACGCUGGCGGCGUGCCUAACACAUGCAAGUCGAGGGAGAAAGUCCGCAAGGAUGAGUAAACCGGCGAACGGGUGCGUAACACGUGGAUAAUCUACCUUCCUGACUGGGAUAACUGGCCGAAAGGCUUGCUAAUACCAGAUAAGCCCACGAGCGCUUUGGCGCUUGAGGGAAAAGGUAGCCUCUGCAAGCAAGCUAUCGCAGGGAGAUGAGUCCGCGGCCCAUCAGCUAGUUGGCGGGGUAAAAGCCCACCAAGGCGCCGACGGGUAGCUGGUCUGAGAGGAUGAUCAGCCACACUGGAGCUGAGACACGGUCCAGACUCCUACGGGAGGCAGCAGUGGGGAAUCUUGCGCAAUGGGCGAAAGCCUGACGCAGCAACGCCGCGUGUGUGAUGAAGGUCUGCGGAUCGUAAAGCACUGUCGCGGGGGAAGAUACGCCACCGGCUAACAUCCGGUGGCUGAGACGGUACCUCGAGAGGAAGCACCGGCUAACUCUGUGCCAGCAGCCGCGGUAACAC
rnacentral:rRNA from 1 species